GAGAAUUCACUUCCAGCCGAGGGGACUGAAGAAGACACCAGGAGGAGCACGUACUUGAGGAAGGACAUUGGAUAACAGUGCCAUUUGGGGAAAAGCUUCCUGACUGACCAAGAUGAAUUGUCAAGGGGAUCAGUGGCAUUUCCUUAUCUGACUGUCAAUAAACAGGUAGACAUGAUCUUUCCAGUUUGGUUAAAGAGCAGCAUUUCCCAGAGGCCAGAGAUCCCUCCAGCUUUAUGGUCUAGUGACCUCUCUGGGGCCUGGGAGCUGAGAAACCAAGAGUUGUGUCCCACUAGUUGCUGCAGGCUGCCCUGCUCUUCUCUGCCAAGGAAGGGCAGCAUUCGCUGGCAGGGAAGCACUUGGAAAGUACGCGAUCGGAUCUGCCUGGAUGGCAGUGAAGACGUCUGUGCAUACAACUGGCUGCAGGUAAUAGUGCUGUUUGGAAGGAAUCUGGAUUUCUGUCUUACAUAAAUACUGCUUGGACUCGUCUCCAUCAGAAUAAAUCAUCAAUUGCUUUCCAGAAAGGCGAGUUUCAGCAACUGAGACAGAAGACCCUGCUGCAAACUCCAGCCCUUCCCUGUAGAAUGACCUUGGGAAAGUCCAACAUCCAGGAAUCUCAGUUUCAAAGGGACAAGUUGGUGUUGAAUACCAAGGCCCUGAGUAACUUAGUGGAUUAAAUGGAGCAGUGCUUGCGAAUCAUUUGACAUACAACUGGCACUCAUCGCACCUCCUUGUUUCCACUGAAUGCUGCUUACCCUUUGACCCAUUCGCAGAGACACAUGUGUCAUUCCUCUGCCUUUCCCCUUCUAUCCACGAAAUGAAAUAUUUCACCCAAAAUACGCUCUUGACUUAGAGCCAUAGCUGAGAAGACUCUCACAUGGAGCAGGAUCUUUUCUUUUUCUUUCUCUGACUUUGGCUUCUUCACCAGGAUCAUUGCCAUCUCUAUCAACAUCAUUCUCUCUAAGGCAUUUAUCACCAAACUGGCAAAAAGCACAUCAUCACAAAACAUUUACUGAGUUUAUUUUUGAGGUAACAUUUUUGGGUUUUGAGAAUAUAAAUGUAAGACACUUGCAGUGCUUUAAAGAGUUGAGUAUUCCUUCUACUUUUAUUCUACAAAUACCCUCGGAAGCGCCAGCCCUGAGCCCGGUUCAGAUGCCCUCUCCUGCUGGUCUCAAACUCGAGCAUCCCAGGCCCUGGCUGUUUCCUUCAGUCUGUUGGGUGUUGGCCCUGAGGCUAAGUUAGAAAAAAAAUGCAUGUAUUCUGUUAAAUUGUAGACAGGCUGAGAGACUGGGGGAGAGGUGGUAUAAAUAAAAAGAAACUUACUGGA